GGAGACGUGCCUGAGUGGCCGAAAGGAGCGGUUUGCUAAACCGUCGUACGUGUUAAAGCGUACCCAGGGUUCGAAUCCCUGCGUCUCCG
rnacentral:tRNA from 2 species